rnacentral:misc_RNA from 1 species
UAUAGUCGAUCUCCACCUAGGUAUUUAUCAUGUUUUAUGGAAUCAAUAAUAAAUGCCGUGCAUAUAUAGUUUUGUGAUAAUUUAGUGAAUGUUUUGACAUUGGUCAAUGUCCAUUUCAAAACUCUGAUUGUAUUUUGUUGGCAAUUACAUUGUGUACAUCCUGUUUGAGUCUAGAUUUUGUUUUUGCUGCUUCAAGGGUAUGCGAUACUGGGUUUGUCUUUUCUAUUAUUAUUGCCCAUGCAAGGCCUUCAUAAAAAUUACUUCUUGAAACCAAAAUUGACGUCUGUUAGGAUUGAUGAACGCUAAUGUUGCAAGUUUAGGAAAGAAGUAAAAUUAGCCAUCUUAUAGCUAGUAACAUGAUUGGGGCACCCUCUGAUAUUUGCCUUUAAAUUUAGAAUUAUCAAAAUAAAUAUUCCACCCCCCCUCCCCAAAACCAAACCCCAAAUAAAUAAAUAAAUCUGGGAUUCAUUUACUCAUCUGAUAAUUAAAUGCAGAAGACACCGACACAGUAGAAGU